CCUACGGGAGGCAGCAGUGGGGGAUAUUGCACAAUGGGGGAAACCCUGAUGCAGCGACGCCGCGUGAGUGAAGAAGUAUUUCGGUAUGUAAAGCUCUAUCAGCAGGGAAGAAAAUGACAGUACCUGACCAAGAAGCCCCGGCUAACUACGUGCCAGCAGCCGCGGUAAUACGUAGGGGGCAAGCGUUAUCCGGAUUUACUGGGUGUAAAGGGAGCGUAGACGGUUAUGUAAGUCUGGAGUGAAAGCCCGGGGCCCAACCCCGGGACUGCUUUGGAAACUGUGUAACUGGAGUACAGGAGGGGCAGGCGGAAUUCCUGGUGUAGCGGUGAAAUGCGUAGAUAUCAGGAGGAACACCGGUGGCGAAGGCGGCUUACUGGACAGUGACUGACGUUGAGGCUCGAAAGCGUGGGGAGCGAACAGGAUUAGAUACCCCUGUAGUC
rnacentral:rRNA from 1 species